rnacentral:rRNA from 1 species
UACAGAGGGUGCGAGCGUUAAUCGGAAUUACUGGGCGUAAAGCGUGCGUAGAUGGUUAUGUAAGUCGGAUGUGAAAGCCCCGGGCUCAACCUGGGAAUGGCCAUGGAAACUGGCGAACUGGAGUGCGGCAGAGGGGGGUGGAAUUCCGCGUGUAGCAGUGAAAUGCGUAGAGAUGCGGAGGAACACCGAUGGCGAAGGCAGCCCCCUGGGCUAGCACUGACGCUCAGGCACGAAAGCGUGGGGAGCAAACAGG